UACGAAGGGUGCAAGCGUUAAUCGGAAUUACUGGGCGCAAAGCGCGCGUAGGUGGUUCAGUAAGUUGGAAGUGAAAUCCCCGGGCUCAACCUGGGAACUGCUUUCAAAACUGCUGAGCUAGAGUACGGUAGAGGGUGGUGGAAUUUCCUGUGUAGCGGUGAAAUGCGUAGAUAUAGGAAGGAACACCAGUGGCGAAGGCGACCACCUGGACUGAUACUGACACUGAGGUGCGAAAGCGUGGGGAGCAAACAGG
rnacentral:rRNA from 1 species